rnacentral:lncRNA from 1 species
UUAUGAAUUCUUAUUUGGUGAGUUAUAUUUAAAAAAUAUUAUUUAUUAUAUGCUCAAGUUAUCCAAGAUUUGGCAAGUGGGAAUUCCCUGAAACUGAAUCAUAAAUGCUUUUACAUCUCUUCAUCAUUCUUUAAACAUUUUGCUAUGUUCUGGCAAAUGAAAAUAUUCCAGGUUCAUCAUGAGCUGUAAAGGUAAGGCAUCUCUGUAAAGGUAAGGCAUUACGUUGAUGAGUACCUUGCCCCCACACUUUGCCUGUUAAGCCAAUUUCAAAUGAAGUUCAGGAGUCCUCUUAAUUUGCUGGUUUUAGUUUAACAUCCCUUCCCUGAUGUCUGAGAAUAAUCUGAAAUAAUAGUUCAUUCUACUACUGUCAACAAUAUAAGGAAUUCAGGAGUGGUCUUCUUUCAUAUGAAAAGUUGGCAAAAAUAUAUGGACUCCUUAGCAUUUUUACAAUUUCAUAGGGUGUUGUCAGAAUAAUGAAGCAAACCUAUAAAUCCAAAGAAAACAGCAAAUUUAAAAAAAAAAAAGUAUGUUACACUUUUAGCAAGUUCAGUGGAACAGAAAAGUUAGUAUAUUAUCUAAAUGUAAAGUUCAAGAACAUUGAUUAUGUGAUACACUAUUGUGACAUAUCUGGUGACCUUAAAAUUAAUAUCUUAAGUUUAAAUUAUUAUAAAAGCAGAAGUGAGAGAUCCUUUAGGUCCUUUAUUCAUGGUUUAAAAUAUUUUACUUGCUAAUACACUCUUACCCUACAGGGAUGACACUUAAAUUUUACUGAGCCAUGGAAUAUAGAGCGAGUUCAAGGCUGAGGAAAGCUGCUGUUUUCAAAAGGAUGCCAGUUCUGGGCAUGUAGUCAAUUUCUGGAUAAGUUAUCACAGGGAGCCACCUGGAGUGAGUAAUGGAAACCUGAGAACCUCCUAGUGUGCGGAUCUCUCUCUAUAUAUAUCUAUAUAUGUAUCAUCAAUCUGGAUAUAUAUAUAUUUCAGAUAUUUUAUAUAAUCAGACUUUUUAUAUAUGAACAUAUAUAUGAAUAUAUGAUUUUUAAUAUUUUAUGUAUUUCUCUAAAAUAUAUUUCUAGAUACCUAUAUAUUAUCUUAAGGAGUCAGAUAACUUCUGAAAUGAUGAAGUCUGUCAAUCAUUCACUCCUUUGUAAAUUAUAAUAUUUUCAUUUGAUUUUUCACAGGAAAUGAGAGAAUGCCUUAUAUGUGUGUUUGUGAGGGUCUGUGGAUAAGUAUUCAUGUGUGUUUUUCUAACAAAAGAGCCACUCUAUUAUUUAACAAUGGAAGUUAUUUCUCAAUUUGAUUUAACAUUUAUAUUUUCCCUAAUCUCUUGCCAACUGGAAAAUGUAUCUAUGCUUUUCAAUGCUCCAGUUCAAUACCCCAUCCCACAGAGUUCCCAAGAUAACUGUUAGGAUUCAAUGAAAGAUACAGUUUUUCCCAAAAAAGCCAGCAUUUUCUUCAAACUGGAUUCAGACAGCAGGUAAGGUCAAGGAGUCAACCAUACUUAGUUCUGGAACCCCCAUCAACCUAAUCCAUCCAUAUGAGAAAAUGUUCAUGCUGGCCUUGAGCAGUGGCUCACGCCUAUAAUCCUAGCAUUUUGGGAGGCUGAGGCGGGUGGAUCACUUGAGGUCAGGAGUUCAAGACCAGCCUGGCCAAUAUGGUGAAACCCCAUCUCUACUAAAAAUACAAAAUUAGCCAGGUGUAGUGGCAUGUGCCUGUAAUCCCAGCUACUCAGGAGGUUGAGGCAGAAGAACGCUUGAACCCAGAAGACAAAAGUGGCAGUGAGCCGAGAUUGCACCACUGCACUCCAGUCUGGGCAACAGAGUGAGACUCUGUCAAAAAAAAAAGAAAGAGAAGAGAAGAGAAGAGACAAAAGAAAAGAAAAGAAAAGAAGAAAGAAAAGAAAAGAGGAAGGAAAAAGAAAAACCUCAUACUAAUAAUAAAACUGCAGUUGCAAACAAGGUGAAGAGGAGGAUGCAAUGAGUCAAGCUAACAGUUUUGGAAAAGAUCAGUUCUGUCCUGCCUUGCAGCAACCUCCACAAGCACAGAGUCCCUUAAAAUCAGAAUCUCUUUUAUAAGAACAAAUUUGAGGGGAAAAACACUUCUGUGCAUUUACCAUCAAUUAUUUAAAAUACACCAAAAUGCACUCACAGAAAAAAAAUGAUUCAGGCUGAAAGAGAAACUUUUGUGAUUAUAGCAAAUGCCCUCAAGCAAAAAAAAAAAAGAAAAAAAGUUAAAAAGGUUUAUAAAUGGAAAAGCAAGAAAAAGAAAAAAAGAUGAAUAAAGUCAUACUAAGGGAAGAAAGAUUCUUCAAGGAAGUGCAGUAUAUGUUGGAAACAUGUUAGAGAUUUAAACUAGAAACAAUACUAAGUACACUGAAAGCCGCAGGAGUCAUCAUAGACUUUUGUUUUGCGAAGGAUAUUAAUGGACAUGGAUUCAAAUCUUCACACCAACACAGACUCCUUUUCCAGCAUCCAUGGAAUCUACAAGAAAUGGAAUAGACCAGGGUGACCCAUCAUUCGCAUAAUGAUCUUCUUUGGUUCCACCACAUUCUACAUUUCUUUUUAUCCACAAUGUUUACUGCUCUCUGGAGAAGGAACCUAGUUUUCCUCUAGUAAUUUUGAUGAAUGGCUACUGGCUGUUGGGGAAGACAUACAUAAAAUUAAAAUAAAAAGUAAGGGAAGCUUGAACUAUUGGGAGACAUCUGUAAUCCACAUGAUUUCCCUGUUAUGCUGUAGUCCUGAAACUUCAAAAAGGAGGCAAGGCCUCCAAAUGACAACAUUAGAAGCUGACUUUACUGCUUUUUGUCCCAAUAAAUCUUUUCAAAUUUUAGAAUGUUAUGAUUUAUGGUAAUGAUAGAGAACAUGGAGAAAUAUUUAUAUAGGACGGAGAUCAUGGCUAAGAGUCUUAGCAAAAUAUUAUUUCCUUGAAUUAGCCUUGAAAGAGUAAAAUCUAUUCUUUUGCUUGGGGUUUUGUGAGGAAUUUUUGUUUGUUUUUCAGAUUUAUUGAGGUAUAGUUGACAAAAAUUGUAUAUAUUCAAUGUGUACAAUGUGGUGUUUUGAUAUAUGUAUACAUUGGGAAAUGAUAAUUAUAAUCAAGUUAAUUAACAUAUCCGUUAUCUCACAUAGUUACCUUUUUUGUAUGGUAAGAAUAUUUAAGAUGCAUUCUCUUAGCAAAUUUCAAGUUUAAGUGUACAUAUUAUUAUUAACUAUAGUCACGAAGCUGUUCAUGGUAUCUCCAGAACUUACUCAUCUUGAAAUUGCAAGUUUACACACUUUGAUUAACAUCUCCCCAUUUCCUCCAUCACUUGACUCCUGGAAACCAUCUUUCUUCUUUCUGUUUCUAUGAGUUCAACAUUUUUAGAUUCCACAUGUAAACAUGUGAAAUCAUGCAGUAUUUGUCUUUCUGUGUCUGGUUUAUUUAACUUAGCAUAAUAUCCUCCAGAUACAUCCAUGUAGUUGCAAAGGCAGGAUUUCUUUCUUUUAUUAAGGCUAAAUAGUAUUCCAUUGCAUACCACAUUUUCUUUAUCCAUUCUUCUGCUCAGAGACACAUAGGUUGAUUUCAUAUCAUAUCCAUUCUUCUGCGCAGAGACACAUAGGUUGAUUUCAUAUCUUGGCUAUUGUGAAUAAUGCUGCAAGAAAUGGGAUUGCAGAUAUAUCUUCUAUUUUCUGAUUUCAUUUUCUUUGGAUAUAUACCCAGAAGUCGGAUUGUUGGAUAAUAUGAUAGUUCUGUUUUUAAUUUUUUGAGGAACUAGCAUAUUUUUUAUGAUGACUGUACCAAUUUACAUGCCUAUCAGCAAUGUAUAAAGUUUCCCUUUUCUCAAUGUCCUUGCCAACAUUUAUCUUUUGACUUUUUGAUAAUAGUCCUGCUAAUGGUUAUGAGCUGAUAUCUCAUUGUGGUUUUAAUUUGCAUUUUCCUGAUGAUUAGUGAUGUUGAGCACUUUUUCAUAUACAAUAUCUGUUGGCUAUUUGUGCAUCUUCUUUUGAGAAAGGUCAAUUCAGGUUCUUUGCUCAUUUUUAAAUCAGGUUUUUUGUUUUUGUUUGCUAUUGAGUUGCAUGAGUUCCUCACAUAUUGUGGAUAUUAACCCCUAAUUAAAUAUAUGGUUUGCAAAUAUUUUCUGACAUUCCAUGAGUUGCCUUUUUACUAUGUUGAUUAAU